rnacentral:lncRNA from 1 species
UUAAACAUCGUUACUCCUCAAUAUUUUCAAAAAGUGUCAUGACAUUUUAGCAUGCACAAAAAUUUCCCAAUGCUUUUGAGCAGUCUCGACAAGUUAAAAGUCACCAAAGACUUUGUUUUUCUUUUCCUCCUGUAGCGUACUGCAGCUCGUCUGAGCCACCAAUCUCGUUAGUCCGAAAGCUACUUCCUCGAUUAAACAAAGGUUACGUUAGAUUGCAGUCAGUUCCCAAGUAGCCAACGAACUCGCUCGCCUUGUACCAAAAAGAAGAAAGGGAACCUGCUCGUCUCCAUCCCUUUCAAAGCCUUGUCCCUUCAGUUACCAAAUAAACAAAAAAAAGCCUUGCCCCUUUGAUCCUCCAAAGGACCCGCAGGAGCCCCCCACUCGACGGUUCUCCAUUCCUCAGUCACGUUGCUAACUCCUCGAAUGCAGCAUUCCAGAGCCACUUCGGUUAUUAUUUUUUUUCUCUUCACAGGGACGCGUGGGUUGCAGCGCGCACCGAUCAAUAACGUAGCUCCACCUGUCCCAUACCCUUCAGACAUCGAGUUACGCGUUACAUGUGCAUGCAUACGUGAUGCAUGCCUUAUUCUACCAAUAGCUUGAGACAUCUCACAUCUCUCCCCUAUUUAAUAACAAUCAACACACAUAAACAUAUUCUAGCAGAUGAGAAUUAAACAAUUAAACAUCUGUCUCGGGACCUCGGGUGCAGAGGUUGGUACAGGCCGUUGAGUCUAGGAAAUGUAGGCAGCAGCGCGGGGCGCGGCGAACCACCGAUCGUCUCUUCCACGGAGUAAACCUGGUGGAUAUUAUAAAUAUAUACUAGGAUUUGUUUGGUUCGCU